GCAGGAGUACCCGAGUCGGUCAAAGGGGAUGGACUCAAGUUCCAUUGCGUACUGCUUCACAGGUUCGAAUCCUGUCUCCUGCACCA
rnacentral:tRNA from 2 species